rnacentral:rRNA from 1 species
UGGGGAAUCUCGCACAAUGGGGGCAACCCUGAUGCAGCGACGCCGCGUGAGCGAUGAAGCCCUUCGGGGCGUAAAGCUCUUUCGACCGGAACGAUAAUGACGGUACCUGGAGAAGAAGCUGCGGCUAACUACGUGCCAGCAGCCGCGGUAAUACGUAGGCAGCGAGCGUUGUUCGGAGUUACUGGGCGUAAAGAGUGCGUAGGCGGCGAGCCAAGUUUGGUGUGAAAUCUCCCGGCUUAACCGGGAGGGUGCGCCGAAAACUGGUUGGCUGGAGUAUGGGGGAGGAAAGCGGAAUUCCCGGUGUAGCGGUGAAAUGCGUAGAUAUCAGGAGGAACACCUGCGGUGUAGACAGCUUUCUGGACCAAAACUGACGCUGAGGCGCGAGGGCGUGGGUAGCAAAC